rnacentral:lncRNA from 1 species
UAUAUAUAUAUUUACAUUGUAUUUUCAUUUUAGAAUAAAUUCAGUCAGCAGGUCUGAUAAGUCUUUUAAUGAGGUAAAAAAAAAUUGGCAAGACCUGCAAAGCAGUGUGGAGAAGAAGGAGGUGGCCAGAGUAAACUAUCAGAAUCAAACUGGUGGAGGCCCCCAAUCAUCUGAUGAGUUGAAACCAUGGGAGUUACAGGUAACACAACUUUCAUUAUAGGAUUAAACACAGUUUUUUUUAGUAAUUCGUGAUUUGUAAACAAUAAGCUAAAAACUCGCAUGUUGCACCUAUAAAUCUGCUUUGUAUCAAAUUUUAUUACAUUCUGAAGUGACCAAGAAAAUGCAGAAGUCAGAAAACACCAGGUGUUUACAUUUGAAGCCGGAAGCAUACUUAUGACGUGGCUUUGCUUAAGAACCACAGAUGAUAACAUCUUUUCUGGAAUUUUCUUAUAAUGAAAAGUUUACAUUUAAUAAUGAUUGAAUUUGUUUUGCAUUAGAAAAGAGAUGACUGUAUUGUAUUUGAAGCUUUGGGGAUGUCCAUCAGUAGUUUUACUGUUACGCGUCGCCAUAUAAACUAAAUUUGCGACAGUAAAACUACAAUGGACGUCCGCAAAGCUUGAAAUAUAAUGCAGUCUUCUCUUAAUUAAGAGACCACUUACGGGAGAGAAAAAAAAUAGUUUCUUGAGCAGGAUUGACUGUACAUGAUAACAUUCAUUGACUUGAACAGUUUAAUUAAUAUUUAACAGGUGAGAGAUACGCUUCCAAAAGCAAGUGUCCAUGGCAUUGACGGUGGCAUGGAUACAGAAAUAAAUGAUUUGUAACAUAUUUCUCAUUUAUUU